GACGAACCGUCCAAACGUUACUCGGAAUUACUGGGCUUAAAGGGUGCGUAGGCUGCGCGGAAAGUUGGAUGUGAAAGCCCUCAGCUCAACUGGGGAAUUGCAUUCAAAACUGCCGUGCUCGAGGGAGACAGAGGUGAGCGGAACUCAAGGUGGAGCGGUGAAAUGCGUUGAUAUCUUGAGGAACACCGGUGGCGAAGGCGGCUCACUGGGUCUCUUCUGACGCUGAGGCACGAAAGCCAAGGUAGCAAACGGG
rnacentral:rRNA from 1 species